CAUGUUUUUUUGUUGUUCUUCUCAGGUUCUCCUGCUCUCGCGUAUCGUUUUCUUUCAUUUUUGAACCCUUGAUAUGUUUUAUUUUGCUACCAUUUGCUCCUUUUUGGGUCUGCAGGUGUGCGGUGACUUUGUUGGGGGGGAAAAUUCAUCAACCAGUAUGGGUUAUUUGGGUUGGUGCAUUGGGUCGACAGAUUUUUAACUUGCAAGAGCUAAAUUCUCCUAGUUUGGAAGCUUUGUGUGUGUUAAAGGUGAGUGUUUUUUCGUUCUCUCUUUGGGGGUUUUCCAGAGGUGGAUUUUUUUAUUUUUGUGUGUUCUGAGUCCUGAUUCAACACCAUAAGAUAAAUGAUUAAUCAUAAUUUUUUUAUGAAGCCCCAAUUGAAUCUAAAGUGAGUAGCUUUGCACACACACCUUGAAUUUAUACAUGAAGAACGAAGUUUUAUAUUGGGAAUCCAUGAUUUGUUUUUCGCAGUUUGUUGUUCCUUUUGACAGGAAGAGCUUGGUGAAAAAUGGUUUCCUCUUUAUUUUCAUAAUUGAGGCUUGGAACCCAUGUGUGUUGAAGGUUAAAUGGAAACCGUGAAGGUGACCCCUAUUACUGAAUUGCGUGCCUACACUAAAGCAGACAAAAUAAAGCUUUGUGUGUGUAGAAUAUGGAAAUCAAACAUUCCUGGAAUUGUUCAUAAAUAUAUACGUGACACUAUACUGUGUCUUGGUUGAUGAAACAGUGAGUGGUCAUUGUCCUAUAAUUUUAAUUAGGAAUUUUAACAGUAAUAGUUAAGUCAUUGGUUUUUUUUUUUUUUUUCAUCUAUUAGUUUGUUAAUUUCUAUUUAUGUUCUUAUAUUACUUUUUCUAUUUCAUUUUUUUGUGCGUAUAAAGUGCUUUAUAGAUUUUACGUAUUUUAAGUGAAUCUAUUUAGCUAUUGUGCCAAUUUAACCUCUCUGUAUCAAAAAAUAAUGU